AUGCUCAUUUCAGAGGCAUACAUAUUAAAACUGGAAUGAUACAGAGAAGAUUAGCAUGGCCCCUGUGCAGAGAUGACAUGCGAAUUUGUGAAGCAUUUAAUUUUUUU
rnacentral:snRNA from 1 species